AUUGUACUCUCUCCGUCCCACAUUAAGUGACUCAAAUUUGUCAAAAUGUGGAUGUAUCUAUGUUUAAAAAGCGUCUAGAUACAUGUAAUAGAAAGUCACUUAAUAUGGGACGGAGGGAAUAGAAG
rfam:Brachypodium distachyon strain Bd21 chromosome 4, whole genome shotgun sequence.